ACUCCUUUAGCCCUCACCUGUGCCCACUUCUUUACAGUUUGAGAAACAUUUUCGAUUUCAAAACUCUAUUGGUUUCAUGUAAACUUCAUUUACUGGGCACCUGGCACCUUGCUGAGUCUUGAGGAAUGAGCAGAGACAAUGCGGUCCCUGCUGUCAUGGAGCUGGCAUCCUGGUGGGAAGAGACAGACAGCAAACAAAUGCUUAGAUACAUGACGAAGAUAAUUUUAGAGCAGUAAGUGCUAGGAAGAAAAUUAGCAGGUGAAGUGACGGCUAGGGCUCCUUGACUGGUGGUGAGAGAAGGAGGCCUGUCUGUGCAAAGAUCUAAAUAACAGGAGGAACCGCCAUGGGUAAAGUCUGGGAAGAGCAUUUUUUUUUCUUUUAGAGGCGGGGUCUUGCUGUUUUGCCCAGACCGAACUUGAAUUCCUGGCCUCAAACAGUCCUGCCACCUCAGCCUUCUGAGUAGCUGGGACUACAGGAGCCUGUCCUGCUGGGAAGAGCAUCCUUGGCAGAGAGAACAUCAAGUGCAAAGGUCCUGAGGCAGGAGAGAACUUGGGACCCUCUGAAUGCUGCCUCGACACAACUCAUUUUACAGAUAGGAAAAUCAAGGCUCAGAGAGGUGAAGUCACUGAUCCAAAGUCACACAGCAGGUGAGUUUAGUCACCCAUUUCAUGCAUGGAGAGCCCACUGUGGGUCAGACACUGGGUUAGACCCUGGGUUGCAAUGUGAAUGUUACCUGUGAAGAGUACUGUGGUGCUCAGGCCUGCAGAGUAAUGACCUAGUCCUGUCAAGGAAUUCGGGGAAGGCUUCCUGGAGGAGGUGAUUGGUGAGUUGAGCUUUCAAGAGUGAUUUUCCUCUGCCUGCUUUAACCAGGGGAGGCUUCUGAACAAACGAGGGCCCUUCCAGAGGAGGACAGCCAUAGGCCUAACCAUCCUGAGACUGCUCUGCAUGAUGCUGGCUGAGAGGGCUCAGGCUUCUCAGAGGAGAACUGAUCAGUGAUCACUGUCAGCAGAGCUAGCCCCAAGAGACUUCUGCUGCUGACCCUGCUAGUCAUCCUCAUUUGCACACAGGUCAAAAGGAGAUCAUGUUUCCUGCCUGGAGGAGAGGCCCUGGUGGGCUGGAAUAGGGGAAAGCAGAGGGGGUGUAUCUCAGGAUAGAAUCCUGCAUCCUGCCAGGGACCAGGCUUAUCCCUGACUCACUCAAUAGGAUGCAAGGGCGCUUACUGUAGCCAGGUGAUUCCUGCAGCCGCUGUCUCACUAGGUAGACACCCGCAUUUCAAUAGCCUCCUUGUUCAGAUGACGAAACACAAUCAGGGAAUGAAGUCACUUGCCCAAGAUCACACAGUCAUACCUAGAGUAGGGAUUCUCCUGGCCCGAGCUCCUACCCAUGCUGCUGUCCUGCCCCCUCUGCGAUGAAAACUCCUGGAUGGAGGCUCCGGGCUGUUCUUACAGAGCCCAGGCAGAGUGUGAGUGUGCAGCAGGACUCCCAUUAGCAAGCACGUGGCUAGUACUUAUUUGGCACCUACUAUGUGCAUUUCAGUCUUAUUAUCUCCAUUUUGCAGAAAACAUAGAGGCCUAGAGAGGGGAGGAAACUCUCGAGAAUACCUUCCUCUGUGUAGGUAGCUGUCAGCCAGGCCCUCUGCUUAGACAGCAACAGAGGAAUGAGAUGGAAAAUCAGAACUCCUGCCCCAACUCUGCCACCCUGCCACCAAUAGCACCGCCUUGGGUGCCUCCUCACCCUCUCUCAGACUCUGGUUUCUAACAGGAGGAGUGUAGCAAUCCCUACCUGCUGGGCUUGUGAAGAUUUAAAACAGUUCAACACCGUAGAGCUCUGGACCACCAAGCGUUGCUGCUCCCCCUCCCCCCAUCAGCCUCCAGCACUUCUACAGAGAAGACAAAUAUGAAUGUGAACCUUUCUUUUGAAGGUCUUGUGAGUGCCCAGAGCCCUAUGGCAAGAAGCCUCUGCCAGGGAAAGGGAUGCGGGGAAGUGGGGGCGGUGAUAGGGAAGCAGAGCCAGAAGAGACCGUGGGGCCUCCUUCCUUCAAGGCCUCCGGUCUCUAGCAGAGAGAAGAGAGGGAGCAGGUGAGAGCCCCACUUAGCUCCAGGCAAUUGUGGUUUUUUUUUUUUUCCAGACAGGAUCCCGCUCUGUCACCAGGCUGUCUGU